rnacentral:rRNA from 1 species
GACGUAGGGCGCGAGCGUUGUCCGGAAUUAUUGGGCGUAAAGAGCUCGUAGGCGGUCUGUUACGUCCGCUGUGAAAACCCAGGGCUUAACCCUGGGCUUGCAGUGGAUACGGGUAGACUAGAGGCAGGUAGGGGAGAAUGGAAUUCCCGGUGUAGCGGUGAAAUGCGCAGAUAUCGGGAGGAACACCGGUGGCGAAGGCGGUUCUCUGGGCCUGACCUGACGCUGAGGAGCGAAAGCGUGGGGAGCGAACAGG